rnacentral:rRNA from 1 species
GACGAACGCUGGCGGCGUGCCUAAUACAUGCAAGUAGAACGCUGAAGAGAGGAGCUUGCUCUUCUUGGAUGAGUUGCGAACGGGUGAGUAACGCGUAGGUAACCUGCCUUGUAGCGGGGGAUAACUAUUGGAAACGAUAGCUAAUACCGCAUAACAAUGGAUGACCCAUGUCAUUUAUUUGAAAGGGGCAAAUGCUCCACUACAAGAUGGACCUGCGUUGUAUUAGCUAGUAGGUGAGGUAACGGCUCACCUAGGCGACGAUACAUAGCCGACCUGAGAGGGUGAUCGGCCACACUGGGACUGAGACACGGCCCAGACUCCUACGGGAGGCAGCAGUAGGGAAUCUUCGGCAAUGGGGGCAACCCUGACCGAGCAACGCCGCGUGAGUGAAGAAGGUUUUCGGAUCGUAAAGCUCUGUUGUAAGUCAAGAACGAGUGUGAGAGUGGAAAGUUCACACUGUGACGGUAGCUUACCAGAAAGGGACGGCUAACUACGUGCCAGCAGCCGCGGUAAUACGUAGGUCCCGAGCGUUGUCCGGAUUUAUUGGGCGUAAAGCGAGCGCAGGCGGUUUAAUAAGUCUGAAGUUAAAGGCUGUGGCUCAACCAUAGUUCGCUUUGGAAACUGUCAAACUUGAGUGCAGAAGGGGAGAGUGGAAUUCCAUGUGUAGCGGUGAAAUGCGUAGAUAUAUGGAGGAACACCGGUGGCGAAAGCGGCUCUCUGGUCUGUAACUGACGCUGAGGCUCGAAAGCGUGGGGAGCGAACAGGAUUAGAUACCCUGGUAGUCCACGCCGUAAACGAUGAGUGCUAGGUGUUGGAUCCUUUCCGGGAUUCAGUGCCGCAGCUAACGCAUUAAGCACUCCGCCUGGGGAGUACGACCGCAAGGUUGAAACUCAAAGGAAUUGACGGGGGCCCGCACAAGCGGUGGAGCAUGUGGUUUAAUUCGAAGCAACGCGAAGAACCUUACCAGGUCUUGACAUCCCGAUGCUAUUUCUAGAGAUAGAAAGUUACUUCGGUACAUCGGUGACAGGUGGUGCAUGGUUGUCGUCAGCUCGUGUCGUGAGAUGUUGGGUUAAGUCCCGCAACGAGCGCAACCCCUAUUGUUAGUUGCCAUCAUUCAGUUGGGCACUCUAGCGAGACUGCCGGUAAUAAACCGGAGGAAGGUGGGGAUGACGUCAAAUCAUCAUGCCCCUUAUGACCUGGGCUACACACGUGCUACAAUGGUUGGUACAACGAGUUGCGAGUCGGUGACGGCAAGCUAAUCUCUUAAAGCCAAUCUCAGUUCGGAUUGUAGGCUGCAACUCGCCUACAUGAAGUCGGAAUCGCUAGUAAUCGCGGAUCAGCACGCCGCGGUGAAUACGUUCCCGGGCCU